UUGGUUAAGUUAGAAAGGGCGCACGGUGGAUGCCUUGGCACUAGGAGCCGAAGAAGGACGGGACUAACACCGAUAUGCUUUGGGGAGCUGUACGUAAGCGUUGAUCCAGAGAUUUCCGAAUGGGGGAACCCACUAUCUUUAGUCGGAUAGUAUCCUUACGUGAAUACAUAGCGUGAGGAAGGCAGACCCAGGGAACUGAAACAUCUAAGUACCUGGAGGAAGAGAAAGAAAAAUCGAUUUCCUGAGUAGCGGCGAGCGAAACGGAAAGAGCCCAAACCAAGAAGCUUGCUUCUUGGGGUUGUAGGACACUCUAUACGGAGUUACAAAAGAAAGUUAUAAAUGAAGCGGUCUGGAAAGGCCCGCCAAAGACGGUAACAGCCCGGUAGUUGAAAUGGCUUUCCCUCCAGAGUGGAUCCUGAGUACGGCGGAACACGUGAAAUUCCGUCGGAAUCCGGGAGGACCAUCUCCCAAGGCUAAAUACUCCCUAGUGACCGAUAGUGAACCAGUACCGUGAGGGAAAGGUGAAAAGCACCCCGGAAGGGGAGUGAAACAGUUCCUGAAACCGUGUGCCUACAAGUAGUUAGAGCCCGUUAAUGGGUGAUAGCGUGCCUUUUGUAGAAUGAACCGGCGAGUUACGAUUUGUUGCAAGGUUAAGCGGAAAAAGCGGAGCCGUAGCGAAAGCGAGUCUGAAUAGGGCGCAUAAGUAACAGGUCGUAGACCCGAAACCAGGUGAUCUACCCAUGUCCAGGAUGAAGGUAAGGUAAUACUUACUGGAGGUCCGAACCCACGCACGUUGAAAAGUGCGGGGAUGAGGUGUGGGUAGCGGAGAAAUUCCAAUCGAACUUGGAGAUAGCUGGUUCUCUCCGAAAUAGCUUUAGGGCUAGCCUCGAGGUAAAGAGUCAUGGAGGUAGAGCACU
rnacentral:rRNA from 1 species